rnacentral:rRNA from 1 species
GUCGAGGGGUAUGGUAGCAAUACCAGAGACCGGCGCACGGGUGCGUAACGCGUAUGCAAUCUACCUUUUACAGAGGGAUAGCCCAGAGAAAUUUGGAUUAAUACCUCAUAGUAUUACGACCCGGCAUCGGGAUGCAAUUAAAGUCACAACGGUAAAAGAUGAGCAUGCGUCCCAUUAGCUAGAUGGUAAGGUAACGGCUUACCAUGGCAACGAUGGGUAGGGGUCC